rnacentral:rRNA from 1 species
AUUGAACGCUAGCGGGAUGCCUUACACAUGCAAGUCGAACGGCAGCACGGACUUCGGUCUGGUGGCGAGUGGCGAACGGGUGAGUAAUAUAUCGGAACGUGCCCAGUAGCGGGGGAUAACUACGCGAAAGCGUGGCUAAUACCGCAUACGCCCCAAGGGGGAAAGCGGGGGAUCGAAAGACCUCGCACUAUUGGAGCGGCCGAUAUCGGAUUAGCUAGUUGGUGAGGUAAUGGCUCACCAAGGCGACGAUCCGUAGCUGGUUUGAGAGGACGACCAGCCACACUGGGACUGAGACACGGCCCAGACUCCUACGGGAGGCAGCAGUGGGGAAUUUUGGACAAUGGGGGAAACCCUGAUCCAGCCAUCCCGCGUGUGCGAUGAAGGCCUUCGGGUUGUAAAGCACUUUUGGCAGGAAAGAAACGUCAUGGGAUAAUACCCCGUGAAACUGACGGUACCUGCAGAAUAAGCACCGGCUAACUACGUGCCAGCAGCCGCAGUAACAC